rnacentral:miRNA from 9 species
UGACCAAGUGGCUGUGAACGG